ACCUGACAGCAGCAGACUAGUGACCAGAAGUGAUGUAAUACUCACAGUGGACUGUCUGUUCCAUGAGAGCCAGAGAGGACUCCUGGACUGUCCUCGCAAUGAUGCAGCGGUCAGCAUGGUUCUGAAGAGGCUGAAUGUACAGCCAAAGAGAGGUGCAGGGGGCCCAACGCUCCUACCCUCCAGGCCACCUGCCGCCCCCCGGAACAGAUCACAUCAAACCACAACUGCAAUACAGUCAACAGAAAAUAAUCCCAUAGC